rnacentral:misc_RNA from 1 species
GAUGAAGAACGUAGUGAAAUGCGAUACGUAAUGUGAAUUGCAAAUUCAGUGAAUCAUCGAGUCUUUGAACGCACAUUGCGCCCCCUGGUAUUCCGGGGGGCAUGCCUGUCCGAGCGUCAUUGCUGCCCUCAAGCACGGCUUGUGUGUUGGGCCCCGUCCUCCGAUCCCGGGGGACGGGCCCGAAAGGCAGCGGCGGCACCGCGUCCGGUCCUCGAGCGUAUGUGGCUUUGUCACCCGCUCUGUAGGCCCGGCCGGCGCUUGCCGAUCAACCCAAAUUUUUAUCCAGGUUGACCUCGGAUCAGGUAGGGAUACCCGCUGAACUUAAGCAUAUCAAUAAGCGGAGGA